UACGGAGGGUGCGAGCGUUAUUCGGAAUUAUUGGGCGUAAAGCGCGAGUAGGCGGGGAUGCAAGUCUGAUGUGAAAGCCCUGGGCUUAACCUGGGAAGUGCAUUGGAAACUGCAUUUCUUGAGUACUGGAGAGGAAGGGGGAAUUCCCGGUGUAGAGGUGAAAUUCGUAGAGAUCGGGAGGAAUACCAGUGGCGUAGGCGCCUUUCUGGACGGUUACUGACGCUGAGACGCGAAAGCGUGGGGAGCAAACAGGAUUAGAUACCCUGGUAGUCCACGCUGUAAACGAUGAGCACUAGGUGUAGCGGGUACUCAUUCCUGCUGUGCCGUAGCUAACGCGUUAAGUGCUCCGCCUGGGGAUUACGGUCGCAAGACUAAA
rnacentral:rRNA from 1 species